AGUUUUAUAGUAUAAUUAGUAUGUUUGAUUUCCAAUCAAAAGGUUAUAAAAUUAU
rnacentral:tRNA from 1 species